UACGUAGGGAGCAAGCGUUGUCCGGAAUCAUUGGGCGUAAAGCGCGCGUAGGUGGCCUCAUAAGUCCGUUGUGAAAGUCAAAGGCUCAACCUUUGAAAGCCGAUGGAUACUGUGAGGCUAGAGUACGGAAGAGGCGAGUGGAAUUCCUGGUGUAGCGGUGGAAUGCGCAGAUAUCAGGAGGAACACCAAUAGCGAAGGCAGCUCGCUGGGACGUUACUGACACUAAGGCGCGAAAGCGUGGGGAGCGAACAGG
rnacentral:rRNA from 1 species